UACGUAGGGUGCAAGCGUUGUCCGGAAUUAUUGGGCGUAAAGAGCUCGUAGGCGGUUUGUCGCGUCGGCUGUGAAAACUCGGGGCUCAACCCCGAGCCUGCAGUCGAUACGGGCAGACUAGAGUGCUGUAGGGGAGACUGGAAUUCCUGGUGUAGCGGUGAAAUGCGCAGAUAUCAGGAGGAACACCGAUGGCGAAGGCAGGUCUCUGGGCAUUAACUGACGCUGAGGAGCGAAAGCAUGGGGAGCGAACAGG
rnacentral:rRNA from 1 species